ACGCUGGCGGCGUGCCUAAUACAUGCAAGUAGAACGCUGAAGGAGGAGCUUGCUCUUCUGGAUGAGUUGCGAACGGGUGAGUAACGCGUAGGUAACCUGCCUCUUAGCGGGGGAUAACUAUUGGAAACGAUAGCUAAUACCGCAUAAAAGUCGACAUUGCAUGAUGUUGACUUGAAAGGUGCAACUGCAUCACUAAGAGAUGGACCUGCGUUGUAUUAGCUAGUUGGUGAGGUAACGGCUCACCAAGGCGACGAUACAUAGCCGACCUGAGAGGGUGAUCGGCCACACUGGGACUGAGACACGGCCCAGACUCCUACGGGAGGCAGCAGUAGGGAAUCUUCGGCAAUGGACGGAAGUCUGACCGAGCAACGCCGCGUGAGUAAAGAAGGUUUUCGGAUCGUAAAGCUCUGUUGUAAGAGAAGAACGAGUGUGAGAGUGGAAAGUUCACACUGUGACGGUAACUUACCAGAAAGGGACGGCUAACUACGUGCCAGCAGCCGCGGUAAUACGUAGGUCCCGAGCGUUAUCCGGAUUUAUUGGGCGUAAAGCGAGCGCAGGCGGUUAGAUAAGUCUGAAGUUAAAGGCUGUGGCUUAACCAUAGUACGCUUUGGAAACUGUUUAACUUGAGUGCAGAAGGGGAGAGUGGAAUUCCAUGUGUAGCGGUGAAAUGCGUAGAUAUAUGGAGGAACACCGGUGG
rnacentral:rRNA from 1 species